UGUGAUUUUUAAAUUCUUAGCGGAUGAUAAAGUUGUGUAGAAACUGAACACUUACAAAUUAUUUAAAACCUGGAAUCACUGACCAGAAAUUACACAGUUGGAUCAUGGGAGAACAGCAGAAAGGGGUUAUUGAGGGAACCUACACUGUUCUAGCUGCACCCCAUGCCCUUCUCAGAGGAAAGCCUGGCAUUGAUUAGAUACUGGGCCAGACUAAUACUGGCAGCAGAGCCAGUGAUAGUAACCUGCCUACCAGAGGAGCCUUCCACUGGGUUGGCAAUUUUGAUCUGGGCCCCGGACAUCUGGCGGAUCUCAUUAAUGUUGGCGCCUUGGCGCCCGAUUAUGCAGCCAAUUAAGUUAUUUGGAAUGAGGAAGACAAACAUAAAGAUGAAGUGCUUAAUUCAAGGUCACACAAUGUCGGGGAUGGACCUCCAGAUUUCCUUACUGGUGAGACGUGGUCUUGUAACACAGUGGUUAAGAAUGUGACUUUGGAGCCAGCCUGCUAGGGGCUGAAUUCUGACUCAGCCAUUUACUAACUGUGUGACCUUAGGGAGGAGGACCUGGUUGAUAGAAGAAUUUAUCUCGUAGUCUUAACAUCCACUGUAAUUCCAAACUUUGAGGACGAUAGAGAUCAGUGGGCUUUGACUGCCCAGCAUGCAGUCUCCAUUCUUAGGUCACAGAAUUUUCCACACUCCUUGACAGAGGUGC
ensembl:lncRNA PCBP1-AS1 PCBP1 antisense RNA 1